CUUCUCCUCCUUUUCUGCAGCUUAGACUGAAUUUCAGUCCCUCUCCAUGAUCUGACCAUCUUGUGAGCUGUCACUGCAGCCAAACUGGCUCAUUUAUGUUCUCUCCUCUCUCCUUUGGGACCAACCCUGGUGGGCCUACUAAGGGAAGGGUUAAGAAAAAGAGGUAAGGAAGACCCUGGUUAACACACUAAUUAGCUAACCCUUCCCAGGAACAAGAGAAAAUCAGCCACACAGUAUCACAUAGCUCUUUAAGAAAGUCCCUUGUCUGAAAGUUGGAGGGUUCCAUCUUGGGGUACAACAGGAAAGCUAGACACAGAAUUCAGAGUUGAGGCCGUACUUUCAGCCCUCUUAUUCUACAGAUGCCCUGAAUAAACCAAGGAUAUGUCAAGAACCCAGGCCCUGGACAGUUUUAGCCAUGUCACACUGACAACUGGUAUACUAAAGCAAUUUCAAUUCCUCAUCAUCUGUCUCCAUCUUUAACAUCUUGUCUAAAACCAUGCCCAGGAAGAAUGUUCAGAGAAUACAGGCUGCCACACAGAUCAGGCGUUUCUCUCCAGGCUCCAACACACAUGCUCAGCCUGGAUCAAUAAGCCUGACUGUGUCUCUCUGGCCGGGAUGGGAAACUGUCUGGACACACAGGUGGAGGCAGCAAGACCCUAUGGGCUGUUUCUGUUUUAUGCUUACCCGGUUACCUUAGCAACAGCAUCUGCACCGAGACACAAGAGGAAGCAAAGCACCACCUACCAAUGCCCCCACUGAGAGGCAUGGGGAGUAAAGUAAAAACCGGCCUGGAAUCAGGAGGCUUCGGUUCCUGGCCUCUCUGCUGGCCCCUGGCUGGCUGCCCCUAACAAAUCUCCUCACCUCCUGGGCCUGUUCUGGGCAGAACUGGGGCUGAGAGCUCUCUAGCUGGUUCAAGGUUUCUGUUGGGGAGCAUAGUCUCUGGGUGAGAAGACCCUACUGUUUCUGCUCUGAGUAGCUUCAAGCACAGGAACUGUGUCAGCAAACAACUGUUUUUUAGCUAGUCUUCCACAACUUAACUUUUCAGUCUCCACCUGUGAUGCAGAAAAUGUUUGCUGAGCAAGCAGAUGGUCGAGCUGCAAGAAGUCCUCACCAGGAUGGACAUUUCUUCAGCUGAGAAACACCAACCAAAAAGUGAUACUCCCCAUCCUGCAACUAUUUUUGUAUCCCCACGGAAUUCCACUGGGCUGCAUCCACUGAUAGGAGAAGACACACUUCUAAAAUUAGGAGAGGGUAUCCAGGAACAAGGAGCAAAGAUGAAAAACCGUAAGCAAAUGCUAAAACCACCCCUGGCUCUGGGAGGGGCUUGGGCUGCGGGGAGAUGAGAGAGGCCCCUUGACUUGGUGCAAAAGUGCUUCCAGGAAAGAAGCUGGGAGCCGCUUCCUGGACAAAGGCUGAGGGACUGACAGGGAGUCAGAGAGGCAGCCCCAAGAACCACUACUACAUGCCACAAUCAGAUGCUGGAAGGAAACCCAAAGUCCAUUCUUUGAACACACAAAGUCAUUGAGGUCCUGUUUCCACAGAUGAGAGUUUGGGGCCACACCCCACCCAUAGCAAAUCCUUUUCUGAAUUGAUGUGGUAGAGUGUUAAGGGCAGAGGCUUAAAGCUCCAAGCUAGCUUGACAAUGGGCAUUCCUGUCACUAAAUCUCAAAAAAACACUUUUUAUCAUUUUACCUCUUUCCCUAGACUGGGCCCAACCAUGCCUUGUCCUAUGAACAGAAAAAGUAUUCAAGCUGCUCUCUUAAAGCAGCUUUUAUCUCCUCAGUGAAGUGGCAAUUUUGGGACAAAUUUCCACAUGAAGAAUCAAAAUGUUCCAAGCCUAAAUAGGGUUCUAGCAACACACUCUUAACUCACAGAAAAGAGCCUCUAACUUAGAUUUCUGCUUUCCUUUGCAGAAUCUGUAGCCUGAACACACUGGUUUUAACUCCACAGGCCUGAAGACACAAGCAGAAGAGACUCAGAAAAGCCAAGGACUGAGUGAAUUCACAAUGCAAGCAGAAACAUCAGCAGGCAAAUUAGGGCCCACAUGGUUUCGGUUUUAAUGUUCUUUGUUUUGUUUUGCAUUUUUCUUUACAGAUGGCGUACUGCUCUGUUGCCCAGGUUAGAGUGCAGUGGCUUGAUCAUAGCUCACUGCAGCCUUGAGCUCCUAGGCUCAAGCAGUCCUCUUGCCUCAGCCUCCUGAAUAGCUGGGACUACAGGUUCUAUUCUGAGGUACUAAGGUUAAGACCUCAACAUAUGAAUUCUGGAGGACAAAAUUCAACCCAGAAGUCUACCUUGUAUUGGGUCCUCACGGCAAGGCUGCAAAACCCGGGGGGUUGGUGGCCCAGUCCCACCUCCCAUGAGCUAAUGAAUGUGGGGCUCAGGGAGGACUGACAGGACUAGAGUUGACAACCAUUCAUCCAACAAACAUUUACUGCACGAGGAAGAGAGGUGAUCAAGGCACUGCCCUUGUCCCCAGGAAGCUCGCCAGUGCAUGGGACUGUGCAGGUGUCUUCACCUCUGCAUUAGGCAUUCGAUGUCAGGCCAUGGCUGAGCAUCCAUCCUCUCUAUGCUAAUUUUUUCCAAAAGUCAAGAGUUUGGAAGAACACUAAUGUGUUUUUCUUCCAGCCUUUCCUAUACAAAUGACAACAUCAUUACCCUCAGCUUUUAAAGUGCAAGUCUGUACAGAGAUCCCAGAGUCAAGGAGGGCGCCUGAGUCAUUUGAAAUAAUUACCUUUUUUUUUUCCUGCCUGAGUCUUGCAUAUCUGUGAAUCAGCAAUGUGGAAACUGGGCUUCAAAAAAAUUAAGGGAGGCUUAAAGUGAGCAAAGCAGAG
rnacentral:lncRNA from 10 species